CAGCAGCCGCGGUAAUACGAAGGGUGCAAGCGUUAAUCGGAAUUACUGGGCGUAAAGGGUGCGUAGGCGGUUGUUUAAGUCUGUCGUGAAAGCCCUGGGCUCAACCUGGGAAUUGCAGUGGAUACUGGGUCACUAGAGUAUGGUAGAGGAUAGUGGAAUUUCCGGUGUAGCAGUGAAAUGCGUAGAGAUCGGAAGGAACAUCUGUGGCGAAGGCGACUAUCUGGGCCAACACUGACACUGAGGCACGAAAGCGUGGGGAGCAAACAGGAUUAGAUACCCCGGUAGUCCCUGUCUCUUAUAC
rnacentral:rRNA from 1 species